CGACCGCUGGCGGCGUGCUUAACACAUGCAAGUCGAACGGUGAAGCGCCUUCCUUUUUGGUGGGUGUGGAUGAGUGGCGAACGGGUGAGUAACACGUGAGUAACCUGCCCCCUUCUUCUGGAUAACCGCAUGAAAGUGUGGCUAAUACGGGAUAUUCUGGGUCUGUCGCAUGAUGGGUCUGGGAAAGAUAUUGUUUCGGUGGGGGAUGGGCUCGCGGCCUAUCAGCUUGUUGGUGGGUGAUGGCCUACCAAGGCGGUGACGGGUAGCCGGCCUGAGAGGGUGGACGGUCACACUGGGACUGAGACACGGCCCAGACUCCUACGGGAGGCAGCAGUGGGGAAUAUUGCACAAUGGGCGCAAGCCUGAUGCAGCGACGCCGCGUGAGGGAUGGAGGCCUUCGGGUUGUGAACCUCUUUCGCCAGUGAAGCAGGCCUGCCUCGUUUGUGGGUGGGUUGACGGUAGCUGGAUAAGAAGCGCCGGCUAACUACGUG
rnacentral:rRNA from 1 species